AGUGGUGUUGAGUAACGGUUACUCAGUUGUUUCAUAAGCAAUUUUUAUAGGUUCGACUCCUGUCACCACGU
rnacentral:tRNA from 3 species